UACGGAGGAUCCGAGCGUUAUCCGGAUUUAUUGGGUUUAAAGGGUGCGCAGGCGGGAGAUUAAGUCGGCGGUGAAAUUUUGCAGCUCAACUGUAAAAGUGCCUUCGAAACUGGUUUCCUUGAGUGUGGAUGAAGUAGGCGGAAUUUGUGGUGUAGCGGUGAAAUGCAUAGAUAUCACGAGGAACUCCGAUUGCGCAGGCAGCUUACUAAACCAUAACUGACGCUCAGGCACGAAGGCGUGGGGAUCAAACAGGAUUAGAUACCCGUGUAGU
rnacentral:rRNA from 1 species